rnacentral:tRNA from 1 species
GGGCCUAUAGCUCAGCUGGUUAGAGCGCACGCCUGAUAAGCGUGAGGUCGAUGGUUCGAGUCCAUUAGGCCCACCA